rnacentral:ncRNA from 2 species
GAGUUUCUUCGGGGCAGGGUGAUGGAAGAUGCAAUAACAAUUGUAGUUGAAUUGCAAUCCGACAGAUUCCCGACCGACGGUGAUAGCUAGAAGACAGGAAGGCACAAGGUGGCUUUCCGGUGUUCCUUAGCAAGUCCGUGAGUCGUGCAAACGAUUGAUCCGGUGAGAAUCCGGAACCGACAGUAUAGUCUGGAUGAGAGAAGAAGUAG